GAAUAUGUGUGUGUGAACAGGAAUCAUUAGUGGCUUUUAAAUUGCAUGAAUACAAUAUGCAAUUUUAGAUAUGAAAUCGUGGAUAUAUGAAACAGGAUACACGCUACGGAAAUAUCCCCUUAAAGGGGCAUAUAAAUAAGAAUCAUAAGGUGGAAUUUUAAAUCAUGUAAUCCCAUUAAAUUUAAUUUUAAAUUUCGUUUCCAUUGGUGAAAAAAUGAUAUGCUUUUCUUAAGUUGGAUAAAGUGCCCAGUAUUUCAUGACACUUCAUGUUUAUCUAAGAUAAUAGCGAAAAAAAGAGUCUUCUUUAAACUAGUUUCUACUGUCGCUGUGAAAAAUUGAAGAAAGGCAUUUUCAUUUCCUAAAGACAAUAAUACUAUUACAUCCUAUUUAAAUAUGAUGUUUGUUUAAAUGUUAUUCAUUCAUUCCAUUGUAUAACUUAAGCCUAUUGAAAAUAAGUUAAAUACUUCUGUUGCUCAAUUACUGAUACUUAUAAAAUACUGCUAAGAACUAA